AGCAGCCGCGGUAAUUCCAGCUCCAAUAGCGUAUAUUAAAGUUGUUGCAGUUAAAAAGCUCGUAGUUGAAUUUCGGGAUCAAUUAAUUGGUCGUGCCUCUGGUACGUACUGAUUUUAUUGGUUUCUCCCUUCUGAAGAAUCAUGAUGUCAUUAAUUUGGUGUCGUGGAGAAUCAGGACUGUUACUUUGAAAAAAUUAGAGUGUUUAAAGCAAGCUAACGCUUGAAUACAUUAGCAUGGAAUAAUGAAAUAGGACGUUUGAUCCUAUUUUGUUGGUUUCUAGGAUCGACGUAAUGAUUAAUAGGGAUAGUUGGGGGCAUUAGUAUUCAAUUGUCAGAGGUGAAAUUCUUGGAUUUAUUGAAGACUAACUACUGCGAAAGCAUUUGCCAAGGAUGUUUUCAUUAAUCAAGAACGAAAGUUAGGGGAUCGAAGACGAUCAGAUACCGUCGUAGUCUUAACCAUAAACUAUGCCGACUAGGGAUCGGAUGAUGUUAAUUUUUUAAUGACUCAUUCGGCGCCUUA
rnacentral:rRNA from 1 species